UACGUAGGGGGCAAGCGUUGUCCGGAAUCAUUGGGCGUAAAGCGCGUGUAGGCGGCUCGAUAAGUCUGCUGUGAAAGUCCAGGGCUCAACCCUGGGAUGCCGGUGGAUACUGUCGAGCUCGAGUCCGGAAGAGGCGAGUGGAAUUCCUGGUGUAGCGGUGAAAUGCGCAGAUAUCAGGAGGAACACCAAUGGCGAAGGCAGCUCGCUGGGACGUUACUGACGCUGAGACGCGAAAGCGUGGGGAGCAAACAGG
rnacentral:rRNA from 1 species